rnacentral:tRNA from 1 species
GGGUAAUUAGUAUAAAUAAAAUACUUGAUUUCGACUCAAGAGCUUGUGAUGAAAUCUCACAAUUACCUA